rnacentral:rRNA from 1 species
GGCGCCUCCCAGCCAUGACGGAGGCGCGGCGUACAGCUCAGUAACACGUGGCUAACCUGCCCUCGGGACGGGAAUACCCCCGGGAAACUGGGGCUAAUCCCCGAUAGGUGAAGAACUCUGGAAUGAUUCUCCGCCCAAAAGACGCUUAAAUCAUGCUUUUAGGCGCCGCCCAAGGAUGGGGCCGCGACCGAUCAGGUAGUUGGUGAGGCAACGGCUCACCAAGCCUUUAACCGGUGCGGGCCGUGGGAGCGGAAGCCCGGAGAUGGGCACUGAGACAAGGGCCCAGGCCCUACGGGGCGCAGCAGUCGCGAAAACUUUGCAAUACACGAGAGUGUGACAGGGCUAUCCCGAGUGCCAUCCGCUGAGGAAGGCUUUUACCCAGUAUAGAAAGCUGGGAGAAUAAGGAGAGGGCAAGCCUGGUGUCAGCCGCCGCGGUAAUACCAGCUCUCCGAGUGGUGUGGAUGUNUAUUGGGCCUAAAGCAUCCGUAGCUGGCCAAGUUAGUCCCCNGUCUAAUCCACCGAAUUAAUCGUUGGAGUGCGGG